CCACACCCAUUGGUCACCGAUAUGCACAAACCCUACCCUUUCCAGCUCUCCCAAAUCGAUGCAGCCGCCUCCCCUCUCCCUCCCUUCCUCCCAAAACACGCCGGCCGCCUCCUCUCCACUUGCCAUACCGCGUCCCCGCUGCCGCCAUGGCCUCUUUAGGAGGCACGCCCCUCCAUGGUGCGAAGCAGCAGACCAGGAUCUGGAUGAGGAAGAGGAGAUCCGGGCGCCCCAACGGUGAAUCGAUCGAUGCGAGGUGACGACGAGCUCCUCCGUACAUGGGGGAGCAGCGACGCCGGAGAUCCAUUCGGCGCAUGCGGGUCGAAGCUGCAGCGCUCCGGUCCCCAAGGCGCCUACAGGCUCGCUUCCUCCAUCCUCCCACGUCGAUCGCACCCCUCCUCCUGCAUCUCACCCAUCUCGAUGGAUGGCGUGCGGGCACGGAGGCGAGGUUCUCCGGCGGCGGCGGGAACCUCCAGGCAGAGAGCGACCCCAUGGAUCCGUCCCUUUAGGAGAGAAGGAAGGAGAGGAGACAUGCCAUGGAGAUGGGAUGAGUGCGCGACCCCAGGAUUUUGCGCUGCCGUCUUCUUUCGCCGGUCGGUGCCCUGGAAGAGCGACACCAGCCAGGUAGGCCUCUCCCUCCUCUCCAUACUCCACAUGAGGUGUGCAGGUCACCGCCGUGACAUAUCGUCUCUGCUCUCACGGUUCUGCCUUACUUGCAGCGUGUGUGAUGUGUGCGUGCUUACUGAUGUGUGGCAAUUUCUUAAUUAUAAGUCCCAGUUUAUGCACUUUCUAGAAGGAUGACGGUGAGGAGGGGCUACCUUUCCCUAGGAGAGGACCCUAACUGAACUUUGCAUUAAAGCUUUGUGUGUGUUUCUCCUUAAUCUUUGUGUAAAUUCAGAGUUCUAAUCAUCUUCUUGGUGUUUGCUGGUUUUAGGCAUUGUAUGGGAUGGGUCUAUCAUGUUGGUAUUAGUUGUAGACUUCCUUGCUGAACCCUACAGGGAGCAAUGCAUCACCAGUUUGCUUCUAGAGAAGGAAGGGGAAGAGGUGAACCUGCUUGUUCUUCAUUGGUUCCUAAAUAAAUAUCUAAUCUGUAAUAUUUUGUUAUAUCUAUGCUCAGUUACAAUUACAACAUGGGGCUUCAAGUGUCUAUUACUAUGGAUCACCAAUAUUUUUUUAUAUCCGUGCAUUUCAGUUAUGACUAAGUGCCACACCAAUGAAUGUGAAUGUCUGUUCAGGUAAUAAGUAUCACCAUUAGCAAUUUCGGUUUGUCUCCAUAGUCUAUUUGUGUCCCAUGUCCUUUCAGUACCUUCUUCUAUUUUCCUGCAUUUUCGCGUACCAUGCUGAAAUGUUGCAUUAGUUUUUGGCCGAAACUUCUUGCCUAGAUAUGGCCAUUUUAUUUUUGCUACACCAUGGUUAGUUAGCUGAGCCAUUUAAAUACAAUUUCAGGGUUUUCUUGUUGCUACUAUUCCUCGUGGAUAUUCAAGAGGCAACUUGGCACCUAAUGUCAGCAACGUGCUUAUCGGUGACGAGGGAAAUGAAAGAAGGCUGCAAUGGAAUUUGUACUAGAUUUUGGCCAUAUAAUUGCCGGUGACUGGAAGUCUAAAACUGAAGAUAGGGCAGAUUGUUUUGAUUCCGAUUACUUGGAGAUCUUGUGGCUUGCUGUCCCUGGAUCAGUCAGACCUACGGCAGCAUCAACUCGUUGAUCCUAGAGGCCAUGGUUCUCGAGGUAAGAAAUAUAAGCACACUAGAGAGAAUCCCUAUGCCAUAUGAACAAAUCUCUUUCUCAUCCAUGCAAUCUCUUCAUAUCUCAAAUCCCCGCCGAAGUGCCUUCACCUUGAUAUCGGCACAUAUGACUUCAGGAUGGUUGUAAUAUUUAUUUUAGAGGAUCUGCACUUCGAGAAACAAAGUAUAUGUAAGCUAUUAGGAAGCCUGAAAGAUUCAUAAAAAUAGUAAGCAUAUGAGUUCUGAUAAAUCAAACGGCACCUCUUAUCAAUCAUUGUAAUGGAUGUUCUGCAAGAUAAACAUUAUUUGACUAGCUCCCCUUAAUUAGUGGGACUUGAGAGUAAUGUAGAAUGUUUAUUUUAGCAGUCUUUAAGGUGCAAAAUAUGUGUUCUGUGAUACCAGUUUCUUGCUUUAUUUUGCUAACUGAUCACAACUACCAUUUUAGUGAACACAUUAUGAGCUGGAAAUUGUACAUUAGAAACUCUUGACAACGCAUUGCAAGUUCCAUGUUGGGAUCCUUCGCUAUAUAUUCCAGGCAGAAGAUUGAAUGGAAAAUCAAGAUGAACAUUUGUGUGUGUGUGAGAAUUUGUAUCUCUUUACUUAAUCUGAAAUCUAAAGUAGUAAUUCUCAGCCUCAGGGCUAUGUGGUGACGCUCGAAGUGACAGAAAAGGAAGAUAUUUGGGCAUAUGAACCCUGGAAAGAGUUUGAUGGUAGCAUAGAGAAAGCAGGUAGUCAGUACCAAAUGAAGAGAAAUAUUGGAAUCAUGUCAUUCCUAGGAGGCAGUUUUCCGGUUGAUCCGAGAUAUAUUUGUUGCUAUACCAAGUGCGACUUUUCUUUAUAGGGGAAACAUUUUCCUACAUUCUUUUAAACAGUAUGGUCCUUCUAUGGUAGCAAACUCUGGUCAAGUAUCUUUCAUUUCCUAUACUGAGAAGUAGCUUUACUUUUUCUUGACAGUAUGGUUGUGUUAACUACUAAAUGCUAAGGUUCCUUUGUUUGUUGACAUAAA